rnacentral:lncRNA from 1 species
ACCGGAGACUGGGUGCAUAUUCACCUGCUGAGCAUCGUCCUCCUGCCCCCUCACGAUGUCCCUCCCAGACCUGGAAAUGCAGGGACCCUGGAGCGUAAACGCCACUGAGGAGCUUACGAUGAAACCAACACCUUCGUGCUUCAGGAAGACGCGGGCCCUAGAGCAGAAAUAACCGAAGCCCCACGUUCCAGUCGCGGGAUGCGUGAUGCGGGAGGGAGAUGGAUGGACUGAGCCAGAUGGACAAGGGUUUUCAGACUUGCCAGGUUUACUUUGCCCUCAGCACCCAGCAUCCUUCCCUGAGCGGCCGGAGAGAACGGCGGGGGAUGCGGAUGAGGCACCCAGGCUUCAGUGUAAAGGUUCGACCACUUCCCGGAGCCUCGGUUCACCGUGUUGGUGGUUCCAGAACCAUCUCCUGGCUCCCACUCCCCUGCCCCUUGCCCUACAGCACCCACAGGCGCACCCUUGCUGCUGAGGAGCCUGGGCCGUCCGUGCUCUUCCGCAAAGCCUGCAUUCACCAGACGCCAACUUCGCGGCAGAAUCCCGGAGCCUGACUGUGGACCAGGCACAGAAACCCCGGAUGUCGUCCUUCCCUCUGGGCGCCGGGCCGGGGCCUCAGGUGCAUGUGCACACUCGCUGGGAAGCUGCUGAAGGGCGGUUUCUCCGCUCAGAACUCGAGGAAACGCCCGGCCCUGUGGCGGCAGAAGCACCGGCCGCCCCGGCCCUCCCGCUGCCCGGCUGGGCCGCUGCUGUCCCCCGUCCCCGGGAAGGUCUGUCCCGAGGCGGAGCCGGUGUGGCGGGUUACUGCUUUCGUGAGAUGCUCCGAGACAGCCACGGCCAAAGGCAAAAUACAUGGGAAAGGCUGCGGACUCCGCCGCACCCGCGGCCUUUGGGAGAUAACGUGGCGAAAGAGCAUUUUUAAAAAAACCCCCUGGCAACUUUUUUUUCCGGCAUUUUUAACCCCGGUGCUUUCUGAGGCGAUAUCGAUUAACAACCAGCAGAGGCAGAGCCUCGGAAGACACGCGCUGGAAGGCGCCGCCGGCGACCAGGCGCGGCAGGUGGCGGAGGCGGGAAGGAGGAAGCGGUUCUGGGGGCGCGUCCCUCGCAGGGGUUGCAGCACGUGCCAGGUGGGGGGAACCCACGUGGGACAGGAAACCCCAGGUCCUGAAAAGGUGGCACCGCCUCCUGACAGAACCCGAGCAGCCGUCAAGGGUAACUGGUGCCGCAUGGGGCAGGUGGCUCCGUUUGACAAGAGCUAAGAUGGCUGAGAAGACCAAGAAAAUCCCAAAUCGAAAGAAACAGGACCCCCCGUCCACGAAGACAUUAGCUGCCUCUUCACACAGACAAGAGGUGAACUCUUUCGGGGCGGCCCCUCGGCCCCUCGGUCCAUCCCUCGAAGCUCCUUUCGCGUUCUCACCACCGUCCAGACAAAUCCCCCGUCUGGACCCCGAGAACUCCCAGGCCGCGGUGUUUCCAGCAAGUGCAGGGUGGGGCGCGGGAUAGACGCCACGGUGUGUGUCUGCGGCGCACAAUUUGCUGUUCCAACCCGCCGACGUGUCCCUUGCAUCUGCCACCACAAAGUCAUGACCGUACCCACCCCUCCCGAAAUAUGCUGGCAUUCCGGCAAUUUCUCCUCCCCUACCCCCCUCUCCCGCUGCUGGUCCUGAGGAAACCGCGGGUCUGUUUCUGUGGCUGAAACAUCGUUUGCAUUUUGUGCGGAGUUGCGUCCUAGGGACUCUCGGUCGGACUUCUUCCACUGGUUUUCAGCAUGAUAAUUUGGAGAUUCAUCAGCGCGGCAGCACGCGUUCAUACCUGUUUUUACUUCCGGUGAGCGUGCCAUGGGGAGGUUAUCCGUUCCUCUGUCGGCGACACCGAGGCUGUUUCCAGUACUUGGCUUUUACAAAUAGGGUUGCUAUGAACAGGUGUAUGCAGGGCUUUGACCAGGUACACGUCUUCGUUUUACUGGGUUAAACGCCUAGGAUGAAAAACACAGCAGGUUUUGCAUGUAUUCGUCUUUAAGAAACUUGCAGGCUGUGUUCCAGAGGGACGGCUACUUCAGUGCCCACCAGCACGCGGAAGAGUUCCAGUCGCUUCACCGCCUCACCCACACUGGGUGUGGUGGGUCUGUUGGGCGUGAGCACUGUCUAGGGUGGGGUGUGCGCUCCCCGUAGUUUUCGCCUGUGUUUGCCGUGACGACCAAUGCCACCGACACCCUAAUUUGAAAGACCUGUGCUGUCUCUGGGGAAGUGUCUGCUCAACCACCUGGUCUACUUUCAGCUGGCUCUUUCUCUCCCGACUAAUGGGUGUUCAGUGGCCUGUCUGUUCUGAGUACGGUCCUGGUGAGAUGCAGGCUUUUGAGGUGUCUUCUGCCGCUCUUCCACCCCCUUGAUGUUUUUCUUCAAAGGCUUCUCCCUCGGCUCAGUUCUGCGGCGGUGACGUCCAGGAGGCCGCAUGCAGACCCCAGGUCAGCCAGGUGCCACUCUCUCCCGGCUUUCUGAGGGACGGAGCCUCCGGGGGGCCUUGUAGCUCUGUGCACGUGAGGGUGACAGCCUGGGUCCCCUCGCUCAGCAGAGGGGAAAACGCCGAAGUGCUGGGAGAGGAGAAGCAACGCUGAGUGACUGAGGGAGCCAGGGUUUGCAGCGAUGGGAACUGUCAGGAAUGUGCUGUCUUAAUGCAGAAGUGGAAUCGAUCCCGGGCCUGGCCCGCAGCAGGCAAAGAGGCCUCCUUCCUGGAGGGGGACGGGAGCGCGAGCGAGGCCAAGGCGGUGCAGGUGGGAGGGUGGGCUCACCGGGACAUCUGCACUCGGAGUCCCCGGAGCCCUCCGGGUGCUAGGGCGAGUUCAGGGGUCUCUCCCCGUCCCUCGCUGUCCCCCAGGAGCCCUUCCAGAGCCGCAGGCUCCCAUCCAAGGGGAAGCGCUUCCUAGACGAAAACGACUCUCCCGUAGAGCGCGCGUUCCAAAGUGGUCAUUAGAGAGCAUGGAAAACUCCUCCUGGAAAGAGCUGGAAAGUUCUCAUGGAAACUAAGUUGGACUCGCACAUUGGAAAUCAGUCACCUGCGAUAUUUAAAAAUGAAGCUAAGCUGUCUGAGUGUACAUUUCAGAAAUGCAGCUGGAGCUGCCCAAUAAAAAUAUUUAAAACAU